AGGGUUGUGGAGGCUCAGUGGUAGAGCAUCUGGUUGGCAUGCAGAAGGUCCUAGGUUCAAUCCCUGGCAUUUCCA
rnacentral:tRNA from 1 species